rnacentral:rRNA from 1 species
AUUGAACGCUGGCGGCAGGCUUAACACAUGCAAGUCGAGCGGGGAAGAGUAGCUUGCUACUUAACCUGGCGGCGGACGGGUGAGUAAUGCUUAGGAAUCUGCCUAUUAGUGGGGGACAACAUCUCGAAAGGGAUGCUAAUACCGCAUACGUCCUACGGGAGAAAGCAGGGGACCUUCGUGCCUUGCGCUAAUAGAUGAGCCUAAGUCGGAUUAGCUAGUUGGUGGGGUAAAGGCCUACCAAGGCGACGAUCUGUAGCGGGACUGAGAGGAUGAUCCGCCACACUGGGACUGAGACACGGCCCAGACUCCUACGGGAGGCAGCAGUGGGGAAUAUUGGACAAUGGGGGGAACCCUGAUCCAGCCAUGCCGCGUGUGUGAAGAAGGCCUUUUGGUUGUAAAGCACUUUAAGCGAGGAGGAGGCUACCGAGAUUAAUACUCUUGGUUAGUUGACGUUACUAGCAGAAUAAGCACCGGCUAACUCUGUGCCAGCCGCCGCUGUAACAC